GGAGUUGUGACUCAGUGGUAGAGCGCUUGCCUAGCAUGCAGGAGGCACAGGUUCAAUCCCUGGCAUCACAU
rnacentral:tRNA from 1 species